CCUACGGGAGGCAGCAGUGGGGAAUUUUGGACAAUGGGCGAAAGCCUGAUCCAGCAAUGCCGCGUGUGUGAAGAAGGCCUUCGGGUUGUAAAGCACUUUUGUCCGGAAAGAAAUCCUCUGGGUUAAUACCUCGGGGGGAUGACGGUACCGGAAGAAUAAGCACCGGCUAACUACGUGCCAGCAGCCGCGGUAAU
rnacentral:rRNA from 1 species